ensembl:snoRNA U3 Small nucleolar RNA U3
AAGACUAUACUUUCAGGGAUCAUUUCUAUAGUUUGUUACAACUUCUGGGGCUGGACACCCUGUGGAGGCAUCCUUGCUAAGGUCAAGCAGUUUGUUCUAGAGGGA